rnacentral:rRNA from 1 species
GCUGGCGGCAGGCCUAACACAUGCAAGUCGAACGGUAACAGGCUGUAUGGGAUCCCUUCGGGGUGAACUUGGCGCUGACGAGUGGCGAACGGGUGAGUAACGCGUAGGAAUCUACCCAGGAGUGGGGGACAACCCGGAGAAAUCCGGGCUAAUACCGCAUAUGCCCUACGGGGUAAAGUGGGGGACCUCUUCGGAGGCCUCACGCUUCUGGAUGAGCCUGCGUCGGAUUAGCUUGUUGGUGGGGUAACGGCUCACCAAGGCGACGAUCCGUAGCUGGUCUGAGAGGAUGACCAGUCACACUGGGACUGAGACACGGCCCAGACUCCUACGGGAGGCAGCAGUGGGGAAUAUUGGACAAUGGGGGAAACCCUGAUCCAGCCAUGCCGCGUGUGUGAAGAAGGCCCUAGGGUUGUAAAGCACUUUCAGUGGGGAAGAAAAGCCUAAAGCUAAUACCUUUGGGUCCUGACGGUACCUACAGAAGAAGCACCGGCUAAUUCCGUGCCAGCAGCCGCGGUAAUACGGAAGGUGCAAGCGUUAAUCGGAAUUACUGGGCGUAAAGCGCGCGUAGGCGGCUAGAUAAGUCGGGUGUGAAAGCCCCGGGCUCAACCUGGGAACUGCAUCC